UCUACGAUGAUCUGCAAGACCAGGUAACACAUGAUGGAGAGAGUACGGGGACCUCUCCCCUCUACGAUGAUCUGCAAGACCAGGUAACACAUGAUGGAGAGAGUACGGGGACCUCUCCCCUCUACGAUGAUCUGCAAGACCAGGUAACACAUGAUGGAGAGAGUACGGGGACCUCUCCCCUCUACGAUGAUCUGCAAGACCAGGUAACACAUGGAGAGAGUACGGGGACCUCUCCCCUCUACGACGAUCUGCAAGACCAGGUAACACAUGAUGGAGAGAGUCCGGGGACCUCUCCCCUCUACGAUGAUCUGCAAGACCAGGUAACACAUGAUGGAGAGAGUCCGGGGACCUCUCCCCUCUACGUUGAUCUGCAAGACCAGGUAACACAUGAUGGAGAGAGUACGGGGACCUCUCCCCUCUACGAUGAUCUGCAAGACCAGGUAACACAUGAUGGAGAGAGUACGGGGACCUCUCCCCUCUACGAUGAUCUGCAAGACCAGGUAACACAUGGUGACAGUUACACACACACAUACACACUCCUCACAGA